CCUUUACUUCCGGCAGCCGUCUGGGUUUAGAUUUAGCCGAGAAAAGGUGACUAUGAGCCGGGUAAAGAGCACCGUGAGGGGACAGUCCUUUCAGGGGCAGUUGCGGUUGAGUUUAGCUGACAAAAAGUGAGUGUCAUGCAGCGAUGACAGUUACGUUU